UAAUACGAGGGGUGCUAGCGUUGUCCGGAAUCACUGGGCGUAAAGGGCGCGUAGGCGUCUUAGCAAGCCUUGAUUGAAAUCCCCCGGCUUAACCGGGGAACUGGUCAGGGAACUGCUAGGAUAGAGUUUGGUAGGGGAGAGCGGAAUUCCUGGUGUAGCGGUGAUAUGCGUAGAUAUCAGGAGGAACACCGAAAGCGAAGGCAGCUCUCUGGGCCAAUACUGACGCUGAGGCGCGAAAGCGUGGGGAGCAAACAGGAUUAGAUACCCUGGUAGUCCACGCCGUAAACGAUGAGCACUUGGUGUCGGGGGAUUCGACCCCCUCGGUGCCGUAGCUAACGUGUUAAGUGCUCCGCCUGGGGACUACGACCGCAAGGUUG
rnacentral:rRNA from 2 species